CACAACCAUCGAGUCAGUGUAUGCGAAAAUGUUUUCCUUAGGUAUGUUUAAAACGUUGGCGGAUUCCGAGAGCAGUCUUGAAAGAAGAACUGCUGCACAUAGUUCCAAUCGUGCAAUCGAAAUUUGUUUCAAAGGCGCUACCUUUGUCUUACUCUCCAAUAUAGUUACAUGUAUAUUUUCCCUAUGGAACACCUUUACAUAAACAACUGCAGCGUAUGCAGCCAUGGAAGCAUCAGCGAAACCAUGUAAUUCAACUCUCUUGAUUUCUGGAUUAAUUGGAACGUCUUCGUCUCAUCCGCACGUACAGAGCCAUAACCUUUGAAUAAUAAUUUUUGCCUUUAUUAUAACUGGAGCUAACCAUCCGAAAGGGUCGAAUAGACGUGCCACUUCGGAAAGAAUAGUACGUUUUGUUAUAGGUUCUAUAAGGUCAGUUGCUCGACCACUUCUGCAAUUCAAACCCAGCGCAUUUCAGUAAGUCAUUUACUUGUUUGUAAAUUUCCAUAGCUUGACAUACAUCGUUAGCGCCGCACAUUAAGUCGUCCAUAUAAAACGCUUUUUUUACUAUUGAUGCAGCCAAAGGAAAUCUUUGCUCUUCAUCUUCAGCGACUUGGAAAAUAGUGCGAACAGCCAAGAACGGAGCUGAUGC